UACGGAGGGGGCGAGCGUUAUUCGGAAUUACUGGGCGUAAAGGGCGCGUAGGCGGCCUUGCAAGUCGAAGGUGAAAUCCCUGGGCUCAACCUAGGAACGGCCUUCGAUACUGCUCGGCUAGAGUCCGGGAGGGGGUAGCGGAAUUCCCAGUGUAGCGGUGAAAUGCGUAGAUAUUGGGAGGAACACCGGUGGCGAAGGCGGCUACCUGGACCGGUACUGACGCUGAGGCGCGAAAGCGUGGGGAGCAAACAGG
rnacentral:rRNA from 1 species